rnacentral:rRNA from 1 species
UACGUAGGGUGCGAGCGUUAUUCGGAAUUACUGGGCGUAAAGCGCACGUAGUCGGCUUUGCAAGUCGGUUGUGAAAUCCCCGGGCUCAACCUGGGAACUGCAUUUGUGACUGCAUGGCUGGAGUGCGGCAGAGGGGGAUGGAAUUCCGCGUGUAGCAGUGAAAUGCGUAGAUAUGCGGAGGAACACCGAUGGCGAAGGCAAUCCCCUGGGCCUGCACUGACGCUCAUGCACGAAAGCGUGGGGAGCAAACAGG